GAAAUGCGAUAAGUAGUGUGAAUUGCAGAAUUCAGUGAAUCAUCGAAUCUUUGAACGCACAUUGCGCCCCUUGGUAUUCCAUGGGGCAUGCCUGUUCGAGCAUCAUUUGUACCUUCAAGCUUUGCUUGGUGUUGGGUGUUUGUCUCGCCUCUGCGUGUAGACUCGCCUCAAAACAAUUGGCAGCCGGCGUAUUGAUUUCGGAGCGCAGUACAUCUCGCGCUUUGCACUCAUAACGACGACGUCCAAAAGUACAUUUUUACACUCUUGACCUCGGAUCAGGUAGGGAUACCCGCUGAACUUAAGC
rnacentral:misc_RNA from 1 species